UUAAAAAGCUCGUAGUUGUAAACUGGGACAGAGCCUUCUAAGCCCUAUAAAUGGGUUAAAAGGAUGGAACGAGUACUCUAAAAUGUCUGCAUUGACGGUUAUUUCUGUUCCCUAUUUUUUUAGGGGUAUGGAAAAAAUUGUUAACAUUUGCAUCAUCAUAUUACCUUGAAGAAAUCAAAGCGCCUAAAGCAGGUCUUAGGCUAGAAUGAAUUAGCAUGGGAUAAUGGAAAAAGACUUUGAUCUUGAUUUAUUGGUUUCUACAAGCAAUGUACAUGAUUAAUAGGGAUAGUUGGGGCCACUUGUAUUGAACCGUCAGAGGUGAAAUUCUAGGACCGGUUCAAGACAAACUACUGCGAAAGCAUCUGGCAAGGAUGUUUUCAUUAAUCAAGAACGAAAGUUGCGGGCGCGAAGAUGAUCAGAUACCGUCGUAGUCGCAACUAUAAACUUUGUCGCCCAAGGGGUAGUGGUAGUUACAUGAUGACACCCCUAUAACUUUGUGAGAAAUCACAAGUAUUUGGACUCUGGGGGAAGUAUGGUCGCAAGGCUGAAACUUAAAGGAAUUGACGGAAGGGCACCACCAGGAGUGGAACCUGCGGCGACUCAACACGGGGAAACUUACCAGGUCCAGACACAAUAAGGAUUGACAGAUUGAUAGCUCUUUCUUGAUUCUGUGGAAAGUGGUGCAUGGCCGUUUUUAGUUGGUGGAUUGAUUUGUCUGGUUAAUUCCGUUAACGAACGAGACCUAAACCUACUAACUAGUUAAUGGUAACUUGGACUCUACAUAGGGACCUCAUAUUUAUCCAAACUUCUUAGAGGGACUCUUUAUACUUAGUGAAUGGAAGUUUUAGGCAACAACAGGUCUGUGAUGCCCUUAGAUGUUCUGGGCCGCACGCGCGUUACAAUGAAAUGCUCAAUGAGCAAUAUCCCUUGCCCUAAGGGGCUUGGGAACCUGUGUAAAGUUUUUCAAGAUUGGGAUAGGUCAUUGUAAUUAUUGACCUUAAACGAGGAAUUCCUAG
rnacentral:rRNA from 1 species